rnacentral:RNase_P_RNA from 1 species
GCGAUGAAUCAGGCCGCCGCGCCGCUGUAAACCAGCAGUGAGGAAAGUCCGGGCUCCGCAGGGUAUGAUGCCGGGUAAUACCCGGGCGGGAAAUGAGAAUUUCCCGACAGCAGCGCAACAGAAAGUAAACCGCCGGCAAUGCCGGUAAGGGUGAAACGGUAGGGUAAGAGCCUACCGCGGAACCGGCAACGGUUCCGGCAUGGCAAGCCUCAUCAGGAGCAAAGUCAAACAACGGUGAACGACCCGUUUAUACCGUGGGUAGACUGCAUAGACACGCCCCGCAAGGGACGCGCUAGACAGAUGGCGGCAGGGAGCAAUCCUUCACAGAACCCGGCUUAUGAUUCAUCGCUUUU